rnacentral:rRNA from 1 species
CAGCAGCCGCGGUAAUACGAAGGGGGCUAGCGUUGCUCGGAAUGACUGGGCGUAAAGGGCGCGUAGGCGGUUUGUACAGUUGGAUGUGAAAUUCCUGGGCUUAACCUGGGGGCUGCAUUCAAUACGUGCAGGCUUGAGUGGGGAAGAGGGUCGUGGAAUUCCCAGUGUAGAGGUGAAAUUCGUAGAUAUUGGGAAGAACACCGGUGGCGAAGGCGGCGACCUGGUCCUUGACUGACGCUGAGGCGCGAAAGCGUGGGGAGCAAGCAGGAUUAGAUACCCCCGUAGUCCCUGUCUCUUAUAC